rnacentral:rRNA from 1 species
UACGAAGGGAGCUAGCGUUGUUCGGAAUCACUGGGCGUAAAGCGCACGUAGGCGGUGUGUCGCGUCGGCCGUGAAAACCUGCAGCUUAACUGUGGGCUUGCGGUCGAUACGGGCAUCACUGGAGUUCGGCAGGGGAGACUGGAAUUCCUGGUGUAGCGGUGAAAUGCGCAGAUAUCAGGAGGAACGACCGGUGGCGAAGGCGGGUCUCUGGGCCGAUACUGACGCUGGAGGAGCGGAAAGCGUGGGGAGCGAACAGG